ACAUCAUCCAGGGAGAGGUCGACCCCACGCAGGUGCACAAAAGCCUCCAAAGGAUCCGGGAGCGUAAACUUGCCAGCUUCAUCCCCUGGGGACCCGCCAGCAUCCAGGUGGCUUUGUCCAGGAAGUCCCCGUACCUGCCGUCGGCCCACCGAGUCAGCGGCCUGAUGAUGCCAACCACACCAGCAUCUCCUCGCUGUUCGAGCGGACGUGCCGGCAGUACGACAAACUGCGUAAGCGGGAAGCCUUCCUGGAGCAGUUCCGCAAAGAGGACAUAUUCAAGGACAACUUUGACGAGCUGGACAACUCUCGAGAAGUGGUCCAGCAGCUGAUCGACGAGUACAGCGCGGCCACGCGGCCCGACUACAUCUCCUGGGGGACGCAGGAGCAGUGAGCGCUCCACCAUCCAGGAGCUGGCUGCUUAUUUUUAACUUAACAUCCUAAAAUCUUUCUAAAAAACAACAGGCCACCGUUGCUUCUCCGGAAAAGGCGAUACUGAUUGGCUUGUUGUAUUAUUGAAUAGUUUGAUCGCAAAUAAUUGUCAACAGCCACUGUUGUAUUAACCAAAAAAUGAACUGAAGUGUAGAUUGUCCAGCCCAGUUUAAAUAUAACAACCCUUAUAAACUGUCUUAUUGAAAGUUUCUUUCGUGCAAACCUGUGCAGAAAGCAACAAUAUAUAUUGUACAAAACAAUCUAUACAAGUCUGUUAAUAGUUUUUUUUCCCCUGCAUUCUGGUUUCUAACCUAGUAGCCUUCUUUUUUUUUUUUUUUUUU